rnacentral:lncRNA from 1 species
CCACUUUUGCAUGCUAAUAAAUCCAUGGCCUAACUUUUCUGUGUACAAUUGGAAAAUCCUUUCUCAGUCAUAAAUGACAUAUAUAUAUAAAUCCCACCCUCUUCCAGUUAAUUAAUUACGUUAAUUCAUUGAUGGCUUCUCUUCUACUUCUUCUCUCCGAGCUGCUUCGUCAUGAAAAUCUCGACAACCUUAUCUCAUCCCCUUCUCCCUUACACGCCGCCGGUGCGCCGCCGCGUCCAGCCACCAAGACCGCAACAAAUCUGACCGACAAAUGCAAAAGCUAUGGGCAGGAUCGAUUUCAAGAACAACUUAUUCCUCGGAUCUGCCUCGACUUAGUUUGGCCCUAGCCGUUCAUUCUUCCUUAAUUUUACAUUUUUCUUUUUAUUUCUACGUCUUCUUUUUUCAUUUUUUUNUUCUUUCAUCUAUGGACUCAUCGCUUCUUUUGUUUAUUGCAAGAAUUGUGCGUAUAUAUAUAAUAGUAUCAAUUUCUCUCUCUUUUCUAUAUAUAUGUAUGCGUGUGUGUUAUGAUUAAUUUAUGAGAAUAUUGUAUGGAUAUAUUAACUCCGUGGUUGUUGGUCAAUCCUUGCAUAUUUAAUUGCUCCGCUUUUCCGGAAGGUAGCUUAGGAGGAUCAUUAGGAAUAUAACGUGACUCGACAUGGAAACUCACGCGUAGAAUUACUACUUUUACAUCGAGCUGAGAAAAAUCUCAACUUACCCACGGGAUCCAAUGCACACAGAUCCGUUAUCUAAUCAAGGAUUUUCAUGUAAUUUAAUAUAGUGCGUUGAUCAUCACAUGCAUGGAUAUAUGAAUAGAUGAGAGUUGAA